rnacentral:rRNA from 1 species
GAGCUUGCUCCUCCGGAUUAGUGGCGAACGGGUGAGUAAUACGUGAGCAAUGUGCCCUUGACUCUGGGAUAAGCGCUGGAAACGGCGUCUAAUACCGGAUACGACCCUCGGAGGCAUCUCCUGAUGGUGGAAAGAACUUCGGUCAAGGAUCAGCUCACGGCCUAUCAGCUAGUUGGUGAGGUAACGGCUCACCAAGGCGACGACGGGUAGCCGGCCUGAGAGGGUGACCGGCCACACUGGGACUGAGACACGGCCCAGACUCCUACGGGAGGCAGCAGUGGGGAAUAUUGCACAAUGGGCGCAAGCCUGAUGCAGCAACGCCGCGUGAGGGACGAAGGCCUUCGGGUUGUAAACCUCUUUUAGCAGGGAAGAAGCGAAAGUGACGGUACCUGCAGAAAAAGCACCGGCUAACUACGUGCCAGCAGCCGCGGUAAUACGUAGGGUGCAAGCGUUGUCCGGAAUUAUUGGGCGUAAAGAGCUCGUAGGCGGUUUGUCGCGUCUGCUGUGAAAACCCGAGGCUCAACCUCGGGCUUGCAGUGGGUACGGGCAGACUAGAGUGCGGUAGGGGAGAUUGGAAUUCCUGGUGUAGCGGUGGAAUGCGCAGAUAUCAGGAGGAACACCGAUGGCGAAGGCAGAUCUCUGGGCCGUAACUGACGCUGAGGAGCGAAAGCAUG